AUUGAACGCUGGCGGCAGGCUUAACACAUGCAAGUCGAGCGGAGUGAUGGUGCUUGCACUAUCACUUAGCGGCGGACGGGUAAGUAAUGCUUAGGAAUCUGCCAUUUAGUGGGGGACAACAUUCCGAAAGGAAUGCUAAUACCGCAUACGUCCUACGGGAGAAAGCAGGGGAUCUUCGGACCUUGCGCUAAAUGAUGAGCCUAAGUCGGAUUAGCUAGUUGGUGGGGUAAAGGCCUACCAAGGCGACGAUCUGUAGCGGGUCUGAGAGGAUGAUCCGCCACACUGGGAAUGAGACACGGCCCAGACUCCGACGGGAGGCAGCAGUGGGGAAUAUUGGACAAUGGGCGGAAGCCUGAUCCAGCCAUGCCGCGUGUGUGAAGAAGGCCUUUUGGUUGUAAAGCACUUUAAGCGAGGAGGAGGCUACUAGUACUAAUACUACUGGAUAGUGGACGUUACUCGCAGAAUAAGCACCGGCUAACUCUGUGCCAGCCGCCGCCGUAACAC
rnacentral:rRNA from 1 species